CUCCAUCUCAGGAAAUUGACAAACUGUUCCAUAAAGAUUUUGGCAUGAGCUGAACCUCACUGGAAGAGGUGCCUUUACAAUGUUUGCAUAGGAUCCAGGGCCAAAACCAUGAAUGUGGUUUAUGAUUCAGGGACUGGAGUCUGAAUAACGUGGAGGAAUUUGUAUUUGGACUGCUGGUUUUGCCCUGUUCAAAUGAUUUUCUUAGUUUCAUUUCUUAUGUAUGGAUGGAGUGUCUGAGCAGUAUAAUUUACAGUGAAUCAUAUAUAUAUGAAUGUAUAAAUAUAUAUAUAUAUAUAUAACCCAGCCUGGGACAAAGAAUGUAGUUUUUUUUGUGUGUGUGUCCCAAGACUGCUACCUACUUCUUGGUCCCCACUUCAUUGUUGUAGGAAGACAAAGUCCAUGUUUCAUGGACCAUUCAUGGACAAAGCCCAGCUGAAGUGCCUUUAUACCAAUGCACGCAGCCUGAGUAAUAAACAGGACAAGUUGGAAACUGUGAUGCACUUGGAAAGUUAUGACCUUGUUGCUAUCACAGAAACAUGGUGGGAUGACUCCCACAACUGGAAUACUACCGUUGAUGGGUAUCGGCUCUUUAGAAGGGAUAGGCGAGGUAGGAAGGGUGGGGGAGUUGCCCUCUAUGUCAAAGAGUGGAUAGACUGUGAGGAGCUCCCUCUGAGAAACAGUCAGGAACAGGUUGAGAGCCUGUGGGUUAGAAUUAGGGAUGGGACUAAUAAAGGUCACCUGGUGAUAGGGGUAUACUACAGGCCACCUGAUCAAGGGGAGGCUGUUGACGAGGCUUUCUUGCUCCAGAUGUGGGAGGCAUCGUGCUCACUGGCCCUCGUCCUGGUGGGGGACUUCAAUCAUCCGGACAUCUGUUGGAAAGACCACAUGGCGAGCUGCAAGAGGUCCAGAAGGCUCGUGGAAUCCGUUGAUGACAACUUUCUGGUCCAGGUAGUGGACAGACCAACCAGAGGUGAAGCGUUGCUGGACCUGCUGCUCACCAAUGCAGAAGAGAUCAUCAAAGAUGUCAAUGUUGAAGGCAGCCUGGGCUGCAGCAACCAUGCCCUGGUUGAGUUCGUGAUCUUGAGGGAUGUGGGCCUGACAAAGGGUGGGGUCAGGACCCUGAACUUUGGAAGAGUGAACUUUAAGCUGUUCAAUGGAUUGUUGGCCAAGAUCCCCUAGGAUGCUGUCCUUAAAGAUAAAGAUGUUGAGGAGAGCUGGCCACUCUUCAAGGAUGCCCUCCUGAAAGCACGAGAGGUCUCCAUCCCUCUGAAUAGGAAAGUGGGCAGACGAGACAGGAAACCGGCAUGGCUCGGCAACGACAUGCUGGGCACACUGAGGGCAAAGAAAGGAAUGAUGACAUCAACUGAACAAAAUAUGAACUGAUUGAGGGCUUGUGACUUUUAAGGAUUUAUUUCAAAGGGAAACAGAACAAAUGGAUCACUCAGAGGUGAAUCAUAGAAUCAUCUAGUUUGGAAAAGAUCUUCAAGAUAAUCAGGUCCAAACAUCCACAUAAAGCAUCAAGUCCUGCCUUUUCCUAAAUGCCACAUCCACAUAUCUGUUAAAUACCUCCAGGGCAAAAAAACCUGUAAUUGCAAAAAUCCUAUGAUGCUUCACCAAAUUAACUUCCUUUAAUCCUUAGCUUCCAAAGUGUCAAGCAAUAUGUAGGAAAAUCACAGCAGAAAAGGGGAAACACUGAUGGUUGAUUAAGUCAUCUGUAGAGACUUCACACUCAGAAGUCCCCCAGCUGAGUUAUGCCCCUUCGUCACGGAAUUCACACCCCACCCCCUCCACUGACGCAAACUUCAGAGAGCAGCUCCAUGGAGGAUAACCUAAGUGCUGCCUGCAGAGCUAAGUGUGCUGUCCUUGCUUGUUAUUGUAGCAUUGAUAUACAUAUCUUCCUUUCCUCAUUUGUUAUAUCCUAAUGUCAUUAGGACAAGCCUGCAGCAAUUUUAAACGCUGGCUGCACAGCCUCUUUGACGUCAUUACAGAAAGGUCUCGAGUGCAGACCCUGCAUAUACUGUCUGUGAUAUAGUGUAUAAAAAUCCAUGUCAGUGCUGGCUCUCGGGGAGCACUGGAAAUGAUUCAGCUGUCUGGAAUGGGCAGAUGGCUGCUAUCAAAGUUUUAUUAUCACCAUCAUUAUUAUUACAGUGGUUUGUGACACAUGCUGAACUUUAAGACUGGUGUAAAAGCUUAAGUAUUUGAGCAACACUUUCUGAAAUUCAAAUCCUUCAAAUCCUUUCCAAUCUAACUCCAAAAAGCAGGAGUACGUUUCAAGCUAAUUAGACAUAUUGCUUGGUUUCACUUCCAACUUUCAGAGUAAUUAUCUCAAAAUUCUUGUUCUCUUGUAAACGCAAAUGUUCACUAUUUUUAAUUGCCUUGAUUUAUUGCAGAACUUAAAUUCAGUACAUGCUGAAAGUUCAGCAGGGUGGAAAGAAAAUUUGAGUUUGUUUAAGGGAGCACAUGGAUAGGAUUGUGUACUGUGGCCUCUGUUUAGAAAAGCUCAUCGUUAACCUAUGCUAACAGGAACUGCUUGCUGGAGGCAUCCUCUAAAACUAACCAUACCGAGGAGUACAGAAUUAAUUGAUACAGAUUUCUUCAACUUGCAACAUGAACAGAUUUACUUGGAUGUUGUAAGAGUGACAUUUCGUUUUCAUCUCUGUAGCUGCUACCUCUGCUGCUUUGUGUAUUUGAAUAUUUCAGUUCUCACAGGGUUCUCUUCUGACGCAUCAGUAGACGGCUGAAGGUUUUUCUCGGUCAUCCUGAGACUGGCUCAGACUAUGUUAUGUUGGCUGUCUGUCUGUGCUUUGUACUUGUCUUUCGUACGGCCUCCAUGGCUCACCAGCAUGAGGUAUAGAUCAACUACUGCUGCCUAUGCCACUGCCUUUUGUGAUUCCUUUUUGUGGUUAUAUUUAGCCCUGAAUGCUAUGGUAUUGGCUUUUGAAUUCUCUGUUCUGGCCAAGUUUUUUGUUUAAGUUGUUGUCCUUUUAGUUUUACUGUAACUGGUCUGUCAGCAGGGGUCCUCUCAGCACAGUAAUGACUCAUGAACAUAUUUCCAUUUCCAGGAGGGCGUAUUGUGGUUGGCCAGCACUGCUAGGCAGACAUCUUAUCCUUCUUGUUCUGCCUUUACCAUCAACAUCCACAUUAUAAUUUCUCAGGCCAGGCAUCACUUUGUGCUUUUAUUUCUUCCCAAAUCUUUGAAAUCAGCUAUCAGGUACUGUGGACCACUUUUUCAGUAUGGCCUGUUGGAUAUGCAGCCAAAGUGUUUUUGUUUUUGUUUUCCUAAUCUCAUUUUUCUAUAUGUCCUGAAAUUGGGCUAGUAAAUUCUUGUAAUGACAGCAUUUUGGGAAGUGAAAGCAAAGAAUUGGACUUAAUUCUUUUUCAAAAGUAUUCAUUUUCUGUGGUUGUAGCAUUCUCCUGCUGUCAGGUAUCAAGGCAUUUGCCCAGCUUCUACUAGAUAUUUAAAACAGGGCCAGGGUUUUUUUCACCAACUAAGACUGGAUUUAUUCUGAUUUAAAUAACAAAAUUUUGCAUCCAGAUAAGUGUGCAUUAAUUACAGUAAUGGCAUGAAUCAUGGAUUAGGUGAGGUUGGCUGAGGAGGCAUUUCUGGAGGCCAUUUGGGUCAACCUCCACUCAAGCAGGGACACCCAGAGCUGGCGGCCCAGAAGCAUAUCCAGAUGGCAAAGAGACACUCAGUCUAUAGUUCUUGUAACUAACCUACAGAUUCUCCCCACAGUCCAGGGAAAUUACACUUAAGCAGCUUGUAGGAUUUUUAUUGAAAGUCAAAGAUAACUUGAAUUCAAAAGUAGCUAGUGAGAAGCAUGACAGCAAAUAUUUGGAAAGGUCAGUAGACUGCUGGGAUGAUACAAUCUCAGGCAGUGGAACAGGAGUAAGAGAAAAGAGAUUGAUAACACUAAUGCUGUAUGAUAGUGACAGAGCAAAUUGUCCCUUUUUACAGAUCUUUUAGACAACUUUAUUUUCUACCAUUGUAUGUGGGAACAUGUUUAGUUUUUUUAGUUGUUUAGUUUUCCACUGAGACCAGAGCCUGAUGAUUUCUCUUGUUCCCUUAAAGUACAUCCAGAAUAUUUAACACACUGGCCUUCCAGCUUAUCACAUGCUUUCUGUUUCUCAGUGACUUUUUUUGAGUUCAAAUCAUUGAGUGCUAAUGCAAAAACCUAAGAGAAUCAGUUCCCCUGUGCUAUGCUUGUGGAAAAAACCUUUGCAAAUAAAAGUCUGAUAUUAAAGUGGGGUGGAGGGAAAAAGAAGGUAACUGUAUUACCUGACUGAUCAGUGCUGCUUUAGUCUGUAUUCAGUAAAUUCACUUAUGAAUGAUAUUUUUCCCUAAAGCAGUGUUUCCCAGAUAUUGAUUGCUGCGGUUGGUAAUGGAUCUAGAGGCCAGCCAGCUUCCAGUGACGCAGUUUCUAGGAACAUGGACAGUGCCAGUCUGAGCUCCAAAAAUCAAUCGCAUAGAGAUGGUUUAUGGUUUGUAACUGUCAGAAAUAGUGGCAGCAGUGUGGCAUUACAGGACGCUGCCCUGUGUCUGUAGACAAAGUGUGUUUUCUGGAAGAGCAGGAUCUUUCCCUCUGCAGAUUUUGGGUACCUCACCUGUUACCAGAGAGAGCAGAGCUGCUUAAGAGCUCAUGGGAGGAAGGACUAGUGAUUGCCAUGCAUGUCUCUUUUCCCUCUGUCAUAAUUGCCUGGGCAGUUAUUUCUCUUCCUACCUGGCAAAACUGGCUGUGUAACACUCAGUGGUGCCAGUGCUCAUCUCCUUCUGUUCCUCAGGGAAACUUACUGUGUCUCAGCCUAGUUUUUUCCCCUUUUUUUUGUCUGAAAAGCCUGGUUCCUUAGUGGGGGUCACAAGCACCACAAAUCUCAAAACGGGAAGGAAAAAAAUAUGUUACUAUUCCAGAUGCUGUUGCUCUCAUAGUAUCAUUGAAUGUUGCUUAUCACACUGCAAUUUAAGUGGAAUGGAAUCUCUUGAGGGACUUAAAAUAACUUUAUCACCAAAUGAAGGCAAGUUUAGUGAGCCUGUCUGUGCUGUUUUCAGUUAGAAUCUCUGGUAGCACUGAGCAGUCUGUCCAGGAAGCUGUUUCCGUAUCAUCUACAGUUUGUCUUAAACUCUACACCCAUUUGAUAGCAGGUAAUGAACAGGUUUUGCUGACAUUCUUCAUAUACAUUCUCUCAUCUUUCCCCAGUAAUUAGCAUGACACAUAGAAGCACAGAGAGGUAGAGUGGCUCAUGCAGACUAAUUUACUCAGUGUUUGGAUUUCAAUGAAUAGCUUAUAAAAAGAUAUGUAUGCUCUCUUCUAUCCCCUUACCUGAGAUAUUCAGUCCACCUCCCUCAGCUUUCUACCAUGACAGCUUGCUUCUAUGGUUGUGAGAGCAUAAGCUGCCUGUCCUGUCUCAGAUGUGCAUCUGACCUUGAUUUCAGAGGCAAAAAGAGAAUGAAAGGAGAUUUGCAGCCAAAAUCAGUUAAUAAUGAGGUGAAAUUAUGUAGGACAAAUCGACUUUAAAAGGAUAAAUGAAGUCAUGUGGAGUUGUGUAAUAUUGCAGUCAGUCUACCACCCACAUCCAAGCUAGUUCUUUAAAAUUGCCUAUUUCUGGGACCAUGGACUUCUGAAUAGUUGUGGCCCUCUGAUCUAUAUGCCCAAAUCUUGAGAUCAAGACCACAGGCAUCUACUUAUUGAGGAGCAAUAAGAAGGGUGAUCUGGAAAUCGUAUGAUUUCCAUGCAUAUGAUGCUACCUCCUGAGAGAUCCUGUCACUGUACCCUAGGGCUAAGUCUGGUGUGCAGCUG
ensembl:lncRNA